UACGAAGGGUGCGAGCGUUGUUCGGAUUUACUGGGCGUAAAGGGCGCGCAGGCGGCUCAUUUUGUCAGGCGUGAAAGCCCCGGGCUUAACCUGGGAGGUGCGUUUGAUACGGAUGGGCUAGAGUUCGGGAGAGGAGAGUGGAAUUCCCAGUGUAGAGGUGAAAUUCGUAGAUAUUGGGAAGAACACCGGUGGCGAAGGCGGCUCUCUGGACCGAGACUGACGCUGAGGCGCGAAAGCGUGGGGAGCAAACAGG
rnacentral:rRNA from 1 species